GACGAACGCUGGCGGCGUGCUUAACACAUGCAAGUCGAACGGAAAGGCCCUGCUUUUGUGGGGUGCUCGAGUGGCGAACGGGUGAGUAACACGUGAGUAACCUGCCCUUGAUUUGGGAUAACUUCAGGAAACUGGGGCUAAUACCGGAUAGGAGCUCCUGCUGCAUGGUGGGGGUUGGAAAGUUUCGGCGGUUGGGGAUGGACUCGCGGCUUAUCAGCUUGUUGGUGGGGUAGUGGCUUACCAAGGCUUUGACGGGUAGCCGGCCUGAGAGGGUGACCGGCCACAUUGGGACUGAGAUACGGCCCAGACUCCUACGGGAGGCAGCAGUGGGGAAUAUUGCACAAUGGGCGGAAGCCUGAUGCAGCAACGCCGCGUGCGGGAUGACGGCCUUCGGGUUGUAAACCGCUUUCGCCUGUGACGAAGCGUGAGUGACGGUAAUGGGUAAAGAAGCACCGGCUAACUACGUG
rnacentral:rRNA from 1 species